rnacentral:misc_RNA from 1 species
CGUACAGCGCAUAGCGCACAGCGCACACUCAUUCGUCUACCUGGGUUCCGGGCCGGAGCAAAUCUUUGGGACCAUUAAUAAUAUCGCCGGCGCAAUUAUCGGGCCAGCUGCUACGUUCCUUGGAGGCCCCUCGAAGCCUCUCAGCAGACACUCGAAGCGUUUCGCCAAACGCGUCACCUUCAGCCGCCACUCUCUCGUUACAUCCGCUGAUCCAUCGUCGUUCUGUCACCUCUAGUCGCUCAGAUUCCGCGCCAGAGAAGACAAACUCAGCGAAAACGAUAACCUACUAAAAUCAAGCCGAAAGGAAAAAGCUAGAAAGGAAAAUAAAACCGAGAAAAGAAAAGAAACUAGAAGUGAAGAGAAGAAAUAUAAGAGAAAAUAUAAGAGAAGAAGAGGGUGGUGCGUAGUGGAAGCAGAAGGGUUAGGUCGUGAGGGGUCCAAGAAGCGUAGCGUUUGGGUGUGAUGUGGCGGAGCCCCCCGGGGGGCCGCGGGGGCAGGAGGUUCGAGGCAGAUCGGUCGUGAGGGCCCCAGGCACGGCUCGGUUGCCCCGCGGCGAGGUCGCCGGAGGGGCGGAGGAGGAUAUAGGAUGGUGUGACCUCCUGCGUUAUCCCGCCCG